AUUGAACGCUGGCGGCAUGCCUUACACAUGCGAGUCGAACGGCAGCAUGAUCUAGCUUGCUAGAUUGAUGGCGAGUGGCGAACGGGUGAGUAAUACAUCGGAACGUGCCCUGUAGUGGGGGAUAACUAGUCGAAAGAUUAGCUAAUACCGCAUACGACCUGAGGGUGAAAGUGGGGGACCGCAAGGCCUCAUGCUAUAGGAGUGGCCGAUGUCUGAUUAGCUAGUUGGGGAGGUAAAGGCCCACCAAGGCGACGAUCAGUAGCUGGUCUGAGAGGACGAUCAGCCACACUGGGACUGAGACACGGCCCAGACUCCUACGGGAGGCAGCAGUGGGGAAUUUUGGAUAAUGGGGGCAACCCUGAUCCAGCAAUGCCGCGUGUGUGAAGAAGGCCUUCGGGUUGUAAAGCACUUUUGUCCGGAAAGAAAUCGCACUUACUAAUAUUAGGUGUGGAUGACGGUACCGGAAGAAUAAGGACCGGCUAACUACGUGCCAGCAGCCGCCGUAAGAC
rnacentral:rRNA from 1 species